rnacentral:RNase_P_RNA from 1 species
AAUAGGCUGCCUUAUCGUUCCGACCUCGAUCAUGAUCGGGAAUUCGGAAAGGAAAGUCCGGGCAACGUAGAGCAUCGUACUUCCUAACGGGAAGUCUUUCGACCUAGUCGGAAGGAGAAAGUGCAACAGAAAACAAACCGCCUUGAACUAGUUGAAAGGUAAGGGUGAAACGGCGAGGUAAGAGCUCACCGCUCUGGUAGCGAUAGCAGAGGCAUGGUAAACCUUACGAGUUGAAAGAUCAAAUAGGUCCUGCAAGAAGUGGCUCGCUUCGAUCUGGUUUUCGAAUCAGAAUGUAGGAUGGGUAGAUUGAUAGAUUCCGACAGCAAUGUCGGAGCCAGAUAAAUGAUAAGGAUCCCGAUUCGUCGGGAUACAGAACCCGGCUUAUAGGCCUAUAUUUUUU